GUGCUUGCUUUGGCAGCACAUAUACUAAAAUUGGAAGGAUACAGAGAAAAUUAGCAUGGCCCCUGCGCAAGGACAAGCAAAUUUGUGAAGUGUUUCAUUUCUUU
rnacentral:snRNA from 1 species